UGCCAGCCGCCGCGGUAAUACGGGGGGAGCAAGCGUUGUUCGGAUUUACUGGGCGUAAAGGGCGCGUAGGCGGCCACCGCAAGUCGACUGUGAAAUCUCCGGGCUUAACCCGGAAAGGUCAGCCGAUACUGCGGGGCUAGAGUGCAGAAGGGGCAACUGGAAUUCUCGGUGUAGCGGUGAAAUGCGUAGAUAUCGAGAGGAACACCUGCGGCGAAGGCGGGUUGCUGGGCUGACACUGACGCUGAGGCGCGAAAGCUAGGGGAGCGAACGGGAUUAGAUA
rnacentral:rRNA from 1 species